rnacentral:rRNA from 1 species
AUUGAACGAUGGCGGCAGGCCUAACAAAUGCAAGUCGAGCGAGCGGCGGAAGGAUGAGUAACGCGUAGGGAACUGCCUAUUAGAGGGGGAUAACUAUUGGAAACGAUAGCUAAUAACGCAUACUAGUAGAUGGCCUGCGUUGUAUUAGAUAGUAGGUAGGGUAAUGGCCUACCUAGGCAACGAUACAUAGCCGACCUGAGAGGAUGAUCAGCCACACUGGGACUGAGACACGGACCAGACUCCUACGGGAGGCAGCAGUGGGGAAUAUUGCACAAUGGUCGCAAGCCUGAUGCAGCCAUGCCGCGUGUAUGAAGAAGGCCCUAGGGUUGUAAAGUACUUUCAGUCGGGAGGCGUUACCGACAGAAGAAGCACCGGCUAACUCCGUGCCAGCCGCCGCGGUAAUUC